rnacentral:misc_RNA from 1 species
GGAAAGAACAGCACGUAUGAAAGCUGAAAGAAAGGAAAGAACUUUGGAAAGGUUUCUGCUGUCUCAAAAGCACAUAGUCUAUACUGACCCUCUUGGUGUUCAGGCUGGAAGCGCUGUGAAAGUUUUUUAUAAUCCUGCGCUAACACAGUUCUGAAUGGUAAAUCUGAAGUUUGGAUCAGAUGUUCAUUUAACCGUUGGACACACCGCAAAGGCCCAUUGCCGCCUCAGAAGAUGUUGGCAGCAGAUAAUGGUUCUCAUGUCAAAGCCACUGUCAAGGUUCCAUUAGAUGCAUACAUGAUGGAUUUUGUAUUCUCGGAGAGAGAAGACGGUGGAAUUUUUGACAAUAGAGAUGGCAUGGAUUACCACGUACCUGUAUUUGGAGGAAUUGUGAAGGAGCCACCAAUGCACAUUGUGCAUGUUGCUGUUGAAAUGGCCCCAAUUGCGAAGGUUGGAGGACUUGGAGAUGUUGUGACUAGUCUCUCCCGUGCUGUACAAGAUUUAAAUCACAGUGUGGACGUCAUUCUUCCAAAGUAUGACUGUUUGAACCUUAGCCAUGUAAAGGACUUUCAUUAUCAGAAAAGCUAUUCCUGGGGUGGAACGGAAAUAAAAGUGUGGUUUGGAAAGGUGGAAGGCCUUUCUGUCUACUUUUUGGAGCCUCUGAAUGGGAUGUUUUCGACUGGUUGCAUAUAUGGCUGCCGGAAUGACGGGGAGAGGUUCAAACAGUCAUACUUUGGAAGAAU